CGUGUCUCUUCAAUGGUUGCUAUAAACUAGAUGUCGUUAACUGUGUCCUAAGUCUACUGUUCCAUGUGCCCAUGAACUAGUUUCUUGUUUAUCGAUUUGUUAUUGGACUGUUUAAUGUUUUUUGUUUUGUCUCUUUUUCUAUUGCUAGGAAAGUGGUGAGAAGAUGUCGAUGAUGCCUACUUGGGACAUUCAAAUCAACUUUUUCUUGUGCAAUUUUGUUCGUUCUUGCUAUAUUCAUGUGUAAGGAAAUGUAUUCAUGAGAUGAGUUAUUGUGUUAUGUAAACGUGGAAGAUGUAUUAUGUGAUGUUAUAUGAUGGAUGCUUUUAAUUCGACUUGGAAUUUUCUUGAUUUGAAUAUGAAAUAAUGUUGAAUUUAAUAUUGAACAAAAAGUUGGGUUGAAAAGGCCCAACAAAUAGAAAUGAAACCAAGUUCUGGAAUAAAAA
rnacentral:lncRNA from 1 species